ACGUACGUAGUUCAAUAUUAAAAGUAAAAGAAUAAUUUUCUACCUCUUUUCUGCCUACGUGGCACUAUCAACCAGAUAGCUUGAAAAAAUUGUCAGCACGCGUUGGGCCCAGAAGAUAGUGCCACAUAGGCCGAAAAGGGGUAGAAAAUUAUUUAUAAAAUAAGUUCGGGGGUAAUAGGACCUUAGUAUAGUAUAAGUGUGUCUCUGAGAUUUCGGACAUAGGUAAGGGGUACUUAUGCGUUUCCCUUAUUAAAAUGAAAAACUACACUAUUACAUAAAAAAAAACUACUAUUAGAAAAAACAACAAACAAAUACUGGUGUAAUAACAUAUUACUGUAUAUACUUUAAAACACUUGGAGCAAAAAAAAAAAAAAUUAAAAAAAAAAGUUAUCAUAAGAUCUAAUAUGCACGGGCUACCUAAGUAAAUUAGCGCAAUAAGUUAGGUGGUUGUAUUAUAUUAUUGUUACAUUUAAAUAUUGAUUAUGGGUAUAUUGUUUUAAUCAUCAUGUAAUCACAUAUAUUUUUUAAGAAAAUAUAUCAAUAUAAUUAAGCAAUCUGUUAAUUAAACAUAUCAAGAAUAAGAUCUUAUGUCUAUAUCAAAAUUAUUGUCUUUAAUUGCACAUAACUAAGGCUUUGCUUGCAAAAUUGUUAUAUAUAUAUGCAGUUUCUUUUGGCAAAUUAAGUCUGUAAGCAAAAAAUUAAAAGAUCUUAAAUUCCUCAAUGGCAC
rnacentral:lncRNA from 1 species